rnacentral:tRNA from 1 species
UCCCUGGUGGUCCAGUGGAAGACUCUGCACUCCCAAUGCAGGGGCCCAGGUUCAAUCCCUGGUCAGGGAA